rnacentral:rRNA from 1 species
GCGUAAAGCGCACGCAGGCGGUCUGUCAAGUCGGAUGUGAAAUCCCCGGGCUCAACCUGGGAACUGCAUUCGAAACUGGCAGGCUAGAGUCUUGUAGAGGGGGGUAGAAUUCCAGGUGUAGCGGUGAAAUGCGUAGAGAUCUGGAGGAAUACCGGUGGCGAAGGCGGCCCCCUGGACAAAGACUGACGCUCAGGUGCGAAAGCGUGGGGAGCAAACAGGAUUAGAUACCCUGGUAGUCCACGCCGUAAACGAUGUCGACUUGGAGGUUGUGCCCUUGAGGCGCGGCUUCCGGAGCUAACGCGUUAAGUCGACCGCCUGGGGAGUACGGCCGCAAGGUUAAAACUCAUAUGAAUUGGCCGGCGCCCCCGCACAAGCGGUGGAUCAUGUGCUUUACUUCGAUGCAACGCUAAGAACCUUACCUACUCUUGACAUCCACAGA